CUAUGCGCCUUGCCAGCCCCGCUCAGAAACUCAAAGGAAUUGACGGGGCCCGCACAAGCGGAGGAACAUGUGGUUUAAUUCGAUGAUACGCGAGGAACCUUACCUGGGCUUAAAUGGGGAGUGACAGCUGUCGAAAGAUGGUUUUCUUCGGACACUCUUCAAGGUGCUGCAUGGUUGUCGUCAGCUCGUGCCGUGAGGUGUCGGGUUAAGUCCCAUAACGAGCGCAACCCUUACCGUUAGUUACCAUCAGGUUAAGCUGGGGACUCUAGCGGGACUGCCACCGUAAGGUGAGAGGAAGGUGGGGAUGACGUCAAAUCAGCACGGCCCUUAUGUCCAGGGCUACACACGUGUUACAAUGGCCGGUACAAAGGGCAGCUACUUCGCGAGAAGAUGCUAAUCUCGAAAGCCGGUCUCAGUUCGGAUCGAAGUCUGCAACCCGACUUCGUGAAGCUGGAUUCGCUAGUAAUCGCGCAUCAGCCAUGGCGCGGUGAAUACGUUCCCGGGCCUU
rnacentral:rRNA from 1 species